ACGGGGCCCGCACAAGCGGUGGAGCAUGUGGUUUAAUUCGACGCAACGCGAAAAACCUUACCUACCCUUGACAUGUCUGGAACUUGGCAGAGAUGCCUUGGUGCCUUCGGGAGCCAGAACACAGGUGCUGCAUGGCUGUCGUCAGCUCGUGUCGUGAGAUGUUGGGUUAAGUCCCGCAACGAGCGCAACCCUUACCAUUAGUUGCCAUCAUUUAGUUGGGCACUCUAAUGGGACUGCCGGUGACAAACCGGAGGAAGGUGGGGAUGACGUCAAGUCCUCAUGGCCCUUAUGGGUAGGGCUUCACACGUCAUACAAUGGUCGGUACAGAGGGUUGCCAAGCCGCGAGGUGGAGCUAAUCUCAGAAAGCCGAUCGUAGUCCGGAUCGCAGUCUGCAACUCGACUGCGUGAAGUCGGAAUCGCUAGUAAUCGUGGAUCAGAAUGUCACGGUGAAUACGUUCCCGGGUCUU
rnacentral:rRNA from 1 species